UGAGGGCCUGAUACUUCUCCACGUCGCGUUGGAACGCCUUAGCCUCAAGGGUGCAACCCUGGGUG
rnacentral:ribozyme from 12 species